rnacentral:lncRNA from 1 species
UUCUGCCCUAAAAUCUCUUAUACACACUAACUCCAUCAUCUAGCCACAAAUUAAACCCUCAAGCUUAACACUUCUGCCCUAAAUUCAUAGCCGCUAGCUGUGUAACUUACCGUCGGCCCUAAUUUCAGAUCUAUUUUCUGGAUAGAACUCCGAUUGAAGGCAUGUGUAUCUUACUCAAUUGAUUUAUUUCUUCUAUUGUACUUAUUUCUUUUGAUUCGGUGUCGUGACAGUUCUAUAAAGUUUCGAUUUUGGUUUAACGGUGGGGAACGGAGAUCUGUUAGGAGACAAGGUUUGAUAGAAUCGGCGAGGUUUCUGAGUUGUGCG